GACGAACGCUGGCGGCGUGCCUAAUACAUGCAAGUAGAACGCUGAAGGAGGAGCUUGCUUCUCUGGAUGAGUUGCGAACGGGUGAGUAACGCGUAGGUAACCUGCCUGGUAGCGGGGGAUAACUAUUGGAAACGAUAGCUAAUACCGCAUAAUAGUAGAUGUUGCAUGACAUUUGCUUAAAAGGUGCAAUUGCAUCACUACCAGAUGGACCUGCGUUGUAUUAGCUAGUUGGUGAGGUAACGGCUCACCAAGGCAACGAUACAUAGCCGACCGGAGAGGGUGAUCGGCCACGCGGGGACUGAGACACGGCCCAGACUCCUACGGGAGGCAGCAGUAGGGAAUCUUCGGCAAUGGACGGAAGUCUGACCGAGCAACGCCGCGGGAGUGAAGAAGGUUUUCGGAUCGUAAAGCUCUGUUGUAAGAGAAGAACGAGUGUGAGAGUGGAAAGUUCACACUGUGACGGUAUCUUACCAGAAAGGGACGGCUAACUACGUG
rnacentral:rRNA from 1 species